UCAAUAACCAGUAAUACAAUAUUAAGCUGGAGAGGUAUUAGGCUGCUAAUAUGAGAAAGUUUGACCUUGAUGGGAGCUCUUGUUGAGUGAGGUUUUGUCACAGUAUAAAAACCUCCUCAGCUGCCUUUGUCCCAGCUUGCAUAACUGCUACACCAGAGCAAAUUCAGGAUAAACUUCUGAUGAAUGUACGACUAGACGGACCAAUGCUGUCAAGAGGACAAUAAAGUUGUCAGCUUGCACUGGCUUGGAAAAUGAAGAUGUUUGCUGUACAUGCAAUUAGUCCAUUAACUCUAAAACUAUGCUAUUUUACCAAGGGGUGGCCAAGAGGUUAGAGGGAGAGAACAACCUCAGCUCUCCCUCAGCUUUGACAAACCCAUUGUGAAAGGGACACCCUUCAUCUCAUUUAUAAGACACAUGGUCCCAUAAAGCCAAGAUUUAUAAGGCUGUAUAAAUUAUGCGUACAUGUCAAGGAGACAAAAGCAGUCUCUGUCAGCAUCAUGGCGUGCUUUUCAUCACUACAGAAAAAAGAAAGGAACAUGCAAUUUUCAAAAGGUCUCCUUUCAUCACCUGGAAACAUCUACAGGAUGAACUGAAAACAGAGGCAAACUUGUUGUGCUAUCUGAAUAUACCCACUGGGCUCAUGGAUAUACAAGGAGAGCACCAAGGAGGGUGGAUGGAAAUCAAGAAAAGAAUUGGAACUUUGCUGUUUGUUUGAAAUCUGUAACAAGCUGGUUCCUAAAUGCCAAGAUAAUGGAUGCACAACUAUGCCAUCUUACAGAAAUAAGAUACUUUGCAAUUUUCAAGUGUAAAGUAGAAUAUGUAUUUACUGGUAAAAUCACAAUAUCACAUAUUCCUUCAGGUAAAGGGACAGUCCUAAUGCAGACAAUGAGUAUAAGGUCUAUCUCACAUUUGAUUGAUUUUCUACUUCUGCUGGCUUUUCUACAUGAAGGAGGGAGCUAAAACCAAGUAAAAACAUGAGCAUUACCUAUUAAAACCCCUGAGGAAACUAUUAUGAGGAUUUAGCUUCAUCUUCAUCCUUCAAGUCUCCACGGCUCAUGGUUGCUAUUUAGUAUAGGAUUAUAUCUAUGUAUUGAUUCAGGGAGAAAGUAGUUAUGAAUGAAAGUUACAGGGAUUUUAAUUUAAAUUAUAUUGUUGGUAAAAAAAAGUCACGUUUAAGUCAAUGGAAAUUUUCUUAAAUUUGGUUUAAAAAACCAAGAAUAUUAAAAAAAAACUCCUCAAAACAUAUUCUGGAUCUUCAUGACAAAACAAAAUCUCAGUUGGAAUAAGAUCUAUGAAAAAGGGGACUCAAAGAGUACCCUACAUUUAAGACAAUUUUUUUUCCUGUAACCAAAAAGACACCACCUCAAGAAAACCACCACCACCACCGGAAAAACACCCCAAACCAAACUCAAGACCCAACAAAAACUGAACCACAUUCUCAAAAUCAUCACAGUUCAAGAUGUGUAUCUUCAGGUUCUGUAUAGCUAAUAAUACCAUAGGUAGAUCACUACA